GAUCCUGGGCUCAGGAUGAACGCUAGCUACAGGCUUAACACAUGCAAGUCGAGGGGAAACGACAUCGAAAGCUUGCUUUUGAUGGGCGUCGACCGGCGCACGGGUGAGUAACGCGUAUCCAACCUGCCCACCACUUGGGGAUAACCUUGCGAAAGUAAGACUAAUACCCAAUGACAUCCCACGAAGACAUCUGAAUGGGAUUAAAGAUUUAUCGGUGAUGGAUGGGGAUGCGUCUGAUUAG
rnacentral:rRNA from 1 species